UGAAAUUUUAAUUUUUACGAAUCUAUGAGUUAUCAAGUAAAUUUAAAAAAUAUUACGUACCCAUACGGUAAGAUCUGGAAAUCGCGAAGUUUACUUUAAUAUGUUCAGUCCUCGUCGGUACAAAAACCGUUCCGGCGUCACUGCCUUACUUGAUAAUUACUUUAUAGAUGCCCAUAACUGGCAAAUAAAUGGUUCUCAAGUGGGAAGAUUACACCCAUGGGGCAAUUUAGAUAUUUUACGGGAGAUAUCUCCACGGAUUGUGGACUUGCUGAGAAAAAAACAAUUGAACAUUCCUCACUAAAAUUCUUAAUUUAUCAUCAAUUUCUCUAAUUUUAUUUCCAUUCAGUUUUACGAUUUUCUAUGUUUUCGUCGUAUGUAAUUUGGCUGAUGUCAGUAAGUUGU